rnacentral:sRNA from 1 species
UGCUCGUAGUUUACAUGUCUUGUCAUCUCACAUUGUUGCCGAAAGGCCUUUUUCUUUGUACCAGCAUGUUAUGUGUCUCUAGCUGUCUGUAAUGUGUUUAAAGUCAUUACCCCACUUCAUCAUGAAGACAACAUUAGGUUACAUUCUGCAUUUGUACCCAAGGAGUUGGCCCACCUGGGGAUGGCUUUUUAAACAAACCCUCCCUGCUCCAGGUCAAGCCGAAAGGGACGGCAGAGAAGUAUGGUAUGGCCAGGUGAUGGCUUGGUACCAGACACAGCAGAACCCCAUGUGGCCCCAAGCCCCACUCUCCCUAGCACCGAAGAUGUCAUCAGGAAAACUGAACAGAUCACCAAAAACAUACAGGAGCUCUUAAGAGCAGCCCAAGAAAAUAAACAUGACAGUUAUAUUCCCUGCUCAGAGAGGAUACAUGUAGCUGUUACAGAAAUGGCAGCAUUAUUCCCCAAAAAACCCAAGUCUGAUAUGGUGAGGACUUCUCUUCGUUUACUGACGUCCAGUGCCUACCGACUGCAGUCAGAGUGCAAGAAGACCCUCCCAGGGGA